UGUGCGGCCAUUUAUCAAGGAAAGUCAUACCUCUUCCGUCUUACAAUUUAAAAGCAAAAUUCCUGAGUGACAUGAAUAUAACUUCCACUGGUUUCAACAUCACUGUACAACUGGAGUCUUCGAAUUGUCAUAAGGUAAUCAACGUGAGUUCCAUAGGAUAAUUGGGCACUAUUAGGUCUCCUUACCGACCGAAUAACUUGUGGACUAAGAAAGCUUGCGAGUGGUGGAUAAAGGGUCCCGCGUCUUCCAGGAUCAAACUGAAAUUCACAAAACUUCCGAAGGAGUCUCCACAAAGUGGAGUUCUCGUUAACAGGGUUGGAGACCCGACAUACAGCAAAAGAACGACAAGACGCAUCUCCACGAACGGAUAUCUGCCGACUGUUACCUCCGCCGGGAACCAGAUGAACGUGCUCUUCUUCGCGGAUAGUGAGAAGCACAUGGUCAGCGCCAGAUGGAAAGUGUUCUCAGCCUAAGUUGCGUUCCUUGAUACAGGCCUAUAAAGUCUACUCCCGUCCCUCAAAUGUCGUUUUCGUUGACAAGGAAUUCGAUCGUCUACUGAGAAGUUUUUGAAACCAUUCCGGGUAUCUUGCAAGAAGAAUAUGGCAGUGCAGAUUACAUAUCAAAUUAUCAUCUUUUUGGAAAUCUAUAAGACCAACAGCUCUAGACACGAGGACAAUAUAAAUAUUUGCAGUUAAAGUUGUUUUGAAAUGAUUUUGAUAAUAUUACUCUCUUCGUAGAGCAGUCAAAAGAAAGAAUACUCUUUCCCUCAAUUCAGCCUAGUUCGUAUCUAGUUAAGACUUUAUCAGUAAAAAUGACUGUCAUAGUCAACUCUGUUUAAGUACUUACCAGCAAAUCUACAGUCAAAUCAAUCCAAUG